UACGUAGGUGGCAAGCGUUGUCCGGAUUUACUGGGCGUAAAGGAUGCGUAGGCGGAUAUUUAAGUGAGAUGUGAAAUACCCGAGCUUAACUUGGGAGCUGCAUUUCAAACUGGAUAUCUAGAGUGCGGGAGAGGAGAAUGGAAUUCCUAGUGUAGCGGUGAAAUGCGUAGAGAUUAGGAAGAACACCAGUGGCGAAGGCGAUUCUCUGGACCGUAACUGACGCUGAGGCAUGAAAGCGUGGGUAGCAAACAGGAUUAGAAACCCCAGUAGUCC
rnacentral:rRNA from 1 species